UACGUAGGGUGCAAGCGUUGUCCGGAAUUAUUGGGCGUAAAGAGCUCGUAGGCGGUUUGUUGCGUCGGCUGUGAAAUCCCGAGGCUCAACCUCGGGUCUGCAGUCGAUACGAGCAAACUAGAGUGUUGCAGGGGAGACUGGAAUUCCCGGUGUAGCGGUGAAAUGCGUAGAGAUCGGGAAGAACAUCGGUGGCGAAAGCGCUCUACUGGACCGCAACUGACACUGAGGGACGAAAGCUAGGGGAGCGAAUGGG
rnacentral:rRNA from 1 species